AUGAUUAUUGCUAUUACCGCCCCAGUCUGAACUACAUGACUGAUUGGUUAUUAUGACUUCCA
rnacentral:snoRNA from 1 species